AUACGGAGGGUGCAAGCGUUAUUCGGAAUCACUGGGCGUAAAGGACGCGUAGGCGGGUUGGCGAGUCAGAUGUGAAAUCCUACAGCUUAACUGUAGAACUGCAUUUGAAACUGCUAACCUAGAGUAUGGGAGGGGGAGAUGGAAUUAGUGGUGUAGGGGUAAAAUCCGUAGAUAUCACUAGGAAUACCGAAAGCGAAGGCGAUCUCCUGGAACAUAACUGACGCUAAGGCGUGAAAGCGUGGGGAGCAAACAGGAUUAGAAACCCUAGUAGUCC
rnacentral:rRNA from 1 species